GUGGGGAAUAUUGGACAAUGGGCGAAAGCCUGAUCCAGCCAUGCCGCGUGUGUGAAGAAGGUCUUCGGAUUGUAAAGCACUUUAAGUUGGGAGGAAGGGCAGUAAGUUAAUACCUUGCUGUUUUGACGUUACCGACAGAAUAAGCACCGGCUAACUUCGUGCCAGCAGCCGCGGUAAUACGAAGGGUGCAAGCGUUAAUCGGAAUUACUGGGCGUAAAGCGCGCGUAGGUGGUUUUGUAAGUUGGAGGUGAAAUCCCCGGGCUCAACCUGGGAAGUGCCUCCAAAACUGCAUGACUAGAGUACGGUAGAGGGUAGUGGAAUUUCCUGUGUAGCGGUGAAAUGCGUAGAUAUAGGAAGGAACACCAGUGGCGAAGGCGACUACCUGGACUGAUACUGACACUGAGGUGCGAAAGCGUGGGGAGCAAACAGGAUUAGAUACCCCGGUAGUCC
rnacentral:rRNA from 1 species